rnacentral:lncRNA from 1 species
CCUGGUGACACUGAAACAAAAGUAUUUUUUUUGUUAGAAAAGCAAGCACUUGGCUGGCCAAAGACAAAUAUUUUGAGAGUUUAACACUUUGAGCCUUUAACACUUUCAACUCCGGCCAUCUGUGGCUUUCUGCCUAACGAAGGCUUUUCUCUCACCUCGAAGCACUCCUUAAAGGUGGAGCUUGCUUGGUUUUUAAACUAGAAAUUGAAUUGAAAGCUGUUUCCUUUGUCCCAAAAGAAUAUAUUUUAAUGCCCAGGUUUGGGAAGAGAAGCUUUCCUGGCCCCAUGGGUUUUGCACAAGCUGAAGAAGCCUCCUGCUCUCCCAACUUGCCCCCCAACGUGCCCAUGGUGGCUGCGGCUGCGCAGGAGCCUGGGCGGCUGAACCCUGCCUGCUCUGCCCGGGGUGCUCCAGCCUCAGAAAUGUUUGCUGCCGGUGACGGUCGUGUGCGUAGGCGGUGGAAGAUGAGGUCAGAGAGGCCCCGGUGGUGUCGCUGCUGGUGUCACCUCGGAGCAGCAGGCUGCGAGGGGAGCUCAGCCUCUUAUUAGACAGCAGAGCGCCCGCGCGGCAGAAACCCUUUGAGUCAUAAGUGCGUAGGAAGCCAGGCUGGUUUCCUGCCCUGCUGCUGCUCUCCCAGUGCUGGUUUGUGCCACGAGCCCCAUCCGAGCCCCAGCUCGGCCCCUAGCAGCUCCAUCACAGCGUGGCACGGGGGUCCCGUGGGGCACUGUCACCCCUGCCACAGUGCCCGGGGCUGUGCGACCCCACCAGCAAUCACUGCAGCGCCAGAUAACGUUGUGCUGAACUCUUGGAUAAAGUUUUGCUGAACUCUCGCUUCCUCUAUUGAUAAGAGCGUGCUCCUGGCCAGUGUCCAGGGCCAGGUUCCUGGGGAAAAGGGGGCUCCUUCCAGCAGGCAGCCCCCUGCCCUGAAGCUCUCAGGCCCUACAGCAGACCCCCAGGCUUCCCUAGGGACUGAGGGCAGGGGAAUGUCCCUGUCCCGGGGCACAGCGAGAGGUGGGAAGGAUCAGGGACAUGGUGCUUGUGCUCCUGGUGGCACUGACCACCGUGCUGUGACCUCCACAAACCUGGCCCAGGCAGGGAACAAGCUCUGGGCCCCCAAAUCCUUGGGUUGUGAUGGAGAAGGGCCCUGCCACGCCAAGCCAUGCCACACCAAGCUGUGCCGUGCCGUGCCAUGCCGGCCAAACACUGGCACAGGCGAGGAGCCCAAGGAAACCACGGUCCCAGGCUCUGCAGGCCGGUGCUCGCCGGGGCUUGGAGGCAAAAUUUCGGACGUUUGUGUUCAAAGCCAGGAGCAGGAGGAGGGCGCGGAGCCGGCUGGCCGGGUUUUCAAACCCAUUGGUUCUCGGAGCAGCAGGCAAGGGAGGGGCAAGGGAGCAGCCUGCCUCAUAAUUGCCUUAAUUAAGCAGGCUCGCUCCGAGCAGGAUCCCACACUGAGCACACCGCAACAGGGGCUGUGCUGUUCGUGCCAAGGGCAGGUGCCUCCUCAUCCAUCUAUCGUUCAGCUGUCCCCCUUUCAAGCUCCAGGGCUCGAUGGAGGAGAUAAACGGCCUUGAUGGGACGGCAGGACAAGUUCCAACACCGCUUCCCAGUGCCUGCUGCCAGCUUCAGAGCGUGAGAAAAUACUGGGCAGGGAGGGAAGGAUCAGCAUCGCACGGAUGUUUGGAGAUGAUUGAUAUUUUUAUGGUGAAGUCGGGAUUUUUGGGUUCCUCCGUCCCUCCACGUGGCACAUCUCUGGGCUGGGGCUUGCACGCACGUGUUGGGCAUGGUGCCGCCCGCAGGUGCCCAGUGACCGGGCAGGGGCCGGGCUGUGCCCACACUCCUCACCCCUGGCACGCAGCUGGGGGCAGCUCACCACAGCUCCCACCAUCACCAGUGCCCCGAUAGAGCCACG